rnacentral:rRNA from 1 species
CGCGGCCUAUCAGCUUGUUGGUGGGGUGAUGGCCUACCAAGGCGACGACGGGUAGCCGGCCUGAGAGGGUGUCCGGCCACACUGGGACUGAGAUACGGCCCAGACUCCUACGGGAGGCAGCAGUGGGGAAUAUUGCACAAUGGGCGCAAGCCUGAUGCAGCGACGCCGCGUGGGGGAUGACGGCCUUCGGGUUGUAAACCCCUUUCAGCACAGACGAAGCGCAAGUGACGGUAUGUGCAGAAGAAGCACCGGCCAACUACGUGCCAGCAGCCGCGGUAAUACGUAGGGUGCGAGCGUUGUCCGGAAUUACUGGGCGUAAAGAGCUCGUAGGUGGUUUGUCGCGUUGUUCGUGAAAACUCACAGCUCAACUGUGGGCGUGCGGGCGAUACGGGCAGACUGGAGUACUGCAGGGGAGACUGGAAUUCCUGGUGUAGCGGUGGAAUGCGCAGAUAUCAGGAGGAACACCGGUGGCGAAGGCGGGUCUCUGGGCAGUAACUGACGCUGAGGAGCGAAAGCGUGGGGAGCGAACAGGAUUAGAUACCCUGGUAGUCCACGCCGUAAACGGUGGGUACUAGGUGUGGGUUUCCUUCCUUGGGAUCCGUGCCGUAGCUAACGCAUUAA